UUGUAUCAAGAGCCGGUUCCAACUUGGAAACGGUUCAAAAAUUAUGAUUACAAUGGAAUCGUUUCUUUAUUAUAAUCUUUUGGAAUCUGAUCAUUGGGUUUGGAAUAUGAUCAU